GGAAGAGAUAUGGGAACAUAUGUAUAUGUAUAACUGAUUCACUUUGUUAUAAAGCAGAAACACACCAUUGUAAAGCAAUUAUACUUCAAUAAAGAUAUGUUAAAAAAAAAAUGGAGAUGAUUUGUCAACCUCCUCCCCUCAUCAUGCCAAAAGUAUAUUUCCCCAGCUUAUUCUGAGUCACAUUUCAACCAAAUCAGUUUAAUAAGAAUGGACUUUGAGAGGACUUGUAAACUUUUUAAAGCUGUCCAUUGAAAGCUACCACAAUGCCAGAGUUUUACAAGUAACCUAUACCUAUUAAAUAGAUUACUUGUGGUAAUUGAUAAAUGUUUUAUUUUUAGAUAUUCUUUGUUCAUAUUCAUUUUAAGUAAAUACUGAGUUACUACAAUCUGGCUAGUUAUAAGCAUUUUUCUUAAUGUAAGUAUGUAAUAUUUUAAUAAAAUAUGUUGGAAUGUAGACUUGAUCUUUGAAUUGAAAAACUAACACCUAGUCGUGGACAUAAAAUUUGGAGAGUUGAUACAUUUGAACUGAGGAUUUUAUUUCUAUGCAGAUUCUCCCCUGCCCCCAUUCUGUCACAUGAAUCCCUGUUCUUUUGGGCAAGAAUGUGAUUCCCCGACACACACCCCUCCCCACCUUUUAAAACAGAAACUUAAUUUAGUUAUGUAUCAAUGCUUUAUAUGGGAAUAUAAUGGAUAGCUAAUCUGUUAUGAAUUUGAGAAUGUAUUUCAUGAAAAAAGAAAUUACAGAGCUGCCAAAGAGAGAGGGUGAGAGGGAGAGCGGUUGUAAAACCUAGUUUGGGGAACUUGAUAUGAAUCUAAUCUCCUGCAGUUCUGGGAGCAGGUAUGUAACUCAUACCCAGGGAACCUGGAAUCUGAAGGAACUGGUAGGUUACUUUGGCUCAGGACAGGAGAAGAACUGCUAAUGUGUUGAGACUGUUCUGCACUCUCAGCAUUUGCUUUGACAAAGACUGUUUGAGUGCUUAUCGAGGACCAGAUAUUAGUCAAGCGUGAAAGAGAGAAAGUGAGCCAUGGUGGUGGAUCCACGUUGGAUACCGCACAAAAGGGCCACUUAGAGGCGUGAACAGGCCUCAGAACAGGACAGUCCAAAGUGGGGCUCUGGAUUCCUUAAGAACUAAGAAGAAAGAAUGAAUUACAUUCACUUAGGUCAAGGGAGUUACAGGUGAGAACAGCUGUGGGCACAGAAAUGCCCCUGAGAGAAAGAGUCAGCUCUAAAACAAUUGCCAGAUCCAGACUGCUCAAAACCAUGUCACAUAAGAACUCUACCGCCCCCUGCAGUUUUGAACCUGGCAGUAUGGGAAACCCUAAUUAGCCAGCUGAAGGAAGGGGACCAUGCCUGCUUUCCACCCCUACUGCAGGUGGUCUGCCUGUAGCAUGGCCUAGCUGAUUAACUCUGACUUGGCAUUUUUAUAGUUCCGUAUAGUUACGCGGGGCUGGACAUUGUUUUUCAGUGCUUUGUGAGUUAAAGCAACUCUGGACUUAUUACUUGAGAGUAAGGGUUUUCAACCUGGGUUGGGAGAAGAACCUCUGAAUAUUUAAAAGGGUAGUGGGAGAUGAAGUUGCCUUCUAAUUAUAUCCCAUGAGUCAAAAAUAGUGGUUACAUAUAUUAACAGAUUUUUGUUUGAACAUUUUUCUGGGUGAUAUAAUUCUAUUCAUAAGAUUUUUCAAAAUUGAAAUAUUUGUGUAAUUUCCAUCAUAAUCAUGUAUGGGGUAUGUGUGUGAGUAACUAUUUUAACAAAGCUUCUAAUGUCUUAGUAUUUUUUAAAAUUUUUAUUGAAGUAUAGUUAAUUUACAGUGUUGUAUUUCAAGUGUACAGCAAAGUGAUUCAGUUAUACAUAUAUAUAUCUAUAUAUAUUCUUUUCCAGAUUCCUUUCCAUUAUAGGUUAUUACAAGAUAUUGAGUAUAGUUCCCUGUGCUAUACAGUAGGUCCUUGUUUAUCUGUUUUAUAUAUAGUAGUAUGUAUCUGUUUUAUAUAUAGUAGUAUGUAUAUGUUAAUCCCACCACCAUCCCCCUGCUAUCCCCUUUGGUAACCAUAAAUUUGUUUUCUAUGUUUGUGAGUCUAUUUCUGCUUCGUAAAUAAAAUAAGUUUAUUUGUAUCAUUUUUUUUUAGAUUCCACAUAUAAGUGAUAUCAUGAUGUCUUUCUCUGACUUGACUUCACUUAAUAAUCUCUAGGUCCAUCCGUGUUGCUGCAAAUGGCAUUAUUUCAUUCUUUUUUAUGGCUGAGUAAUAUUCCAUUGUAUAUGUAUACUACAUCUUCUUUAUCCAUUCACCUGUCAGUGGACAUUUAUCGAAAAGACACAUGCACCCCGGUGUUCAUAGCAGCACUAUUUGCAAUAUCCAAAACAUCAUGGAAGCAACAUAAAUGUCUUGGUAUUUUUUAUAUCAUUUUAUUUUUUCCUCCCCCUUAUAUGAUAUUUUAUUGUACUAUAUUAUGGUUCAGUAUUCUUUCCCCUUAAAAUUCCUAUGCAAGUUAGUCAUGUUAUAUUUCCAUAAUCAUUAUCAGUUUAAUAUUUUUAAUAUUGAAAUAGCUAAUCUAGGGAUUUAGUAGAAUGAUCUAUUUAUUGUUAAAAUGGGGACAAGAGAAACUGCUUUUAGUUGAUUACAGCUCUUAUUUCCCCCUUUAUUCUAUUGAUAACAUUUUUAUGAUUAUGUUAAAAUUCAGGAAUUAUUUUGUGGGAUCUUAUUGUUUGCUCUCCAUUUUAUGUUGGUAAACUCUAAGGUUAUAUAUAUAUCCUUGGUCCUUUUAGCUUCUCUCUAUAUUUUUGUAUCAUCUGUAUGCUGAUGACUUCUUAGUCUUUCUCUACAGCCCUUUUCCAUUUAGGCUACAUGUCCAACUGUUUUUCUCCAUAGCAUUUGAUUUGUAUGUUCAUAAGAAGCUGUUCUUGGGGACUUCCCUGGUGGUCCAGUGGUUAGGACUCUGCACUCCCAAUGCACGGGGCACAGGUUCAAACCCUGGUCUGGGAAUUAAGAUCCUGCAUGCCACAUGGCGUGGCCAAAAGAAAAGAAGAAGAAAGAAAAAGCUGUUCUCUAAUUUAUUGUUUCUGUGUCUGCCUUUUCCCGCCUGGUGUUGAGUUCUAGGAAGAAAUCUUGAACACUUGUAUCUCUAAGACUAAAUGGAGUGCUUUAUAGGUAGACAGCUAAUAAAUUUUCAGUGAGUGAAAGAAUAAUAGGCAUUCAGUAGAUUGAUCCUAAUUCCCCCAUCAGGCAGAGCACUGGAACAGAUGGGUCAGAUUCUCUAUAGACGUUAAAUAAUGCCAUAGAGGAUGUGAGUAGUAAGUGGUUUUUUCAUCUUUGAAAAUAUCGCAGUGAAUAUAACAAUAAAGAAGAUGGAAUGUCUUCCUGAGGAAAAUCUGCCUUCUUUUUUGGAAGAUAAAAUGUGCAAGGUAGGACUGAAUGCCAGGCUAACAGUAUCUUUUACACAGAAGGAUCUGUUAACUGGAUAAAAAGGUAACUUUAAGAUCUGCAGCAUGUGAAAUUCCUUAAGUAUUCUGGAUUGAUUUCAUACAAGAUGUGUUUUAUCUUUGAUCAACCAGUUGCCUCCAUUCACAGUCCUGAGGCAUGUUAAAGACCAGUUGUUGGUAAACUUGAGAUGUUAGGAAUGUCUGUAUAACUCUCCUGGAAGUUCUGAACUAGGUGAUGAAAGAGACAGAGGUGCAAGAAGACGGAGAAAGAAGAGACAAAAUAUGGAGGAUUGGAGAAGAUGGUUGCUACAGGAUUUCCAGGAAGAACAAAAGAGAGACUGUUUAUAUUAUUCGGAAAUAAGCAUCGUUAUCUAAAAAGAAACCCAAAUCAACUAUAACCAAAAUAUCAAAUGACUGAAUGAUUAUAAGAAAUUUGUGAAUCAAACUGUGCAAAGCCUGGGGCUUCCCUGAUAGCGCAGUGGUUGAGAAUCUGCUGCCAAUGCAGGGGACACGGGUUCGAUCCCUGGUCCUGGAAGAUCCCAAAUGCCUCGGAGCAACUAAGCCCGUGUGCCACAACUGCUGAGCUUGUACUCUAGAGCCUGUGAGCCACAACUGCUGAGCCCGUGUGCCACAAGUACUGAAGCCCACGCUCCUAGAGCCCGUGCUCUGCAACAAGAGAAGCCACCGCAGUGAGAAGCCCAUGCACCGCAACGAAGAGUAGCCCCUGCUCGCCACAACUAGAGAAAUCCCACAUGCAGCAAUGAAGACCCAACGCAGCCUAAAUUAAUUAAUUUAAAAAAACUAUGCAAAGCCUGAUGCACAAUGUUUCCUGGUGGAGGGAGCAUAGCUCCCACCAAGUAGAAGCAUCUUGUCAGCAUUAACUCUGCUAGGCCAAAAGGUUCAUAAUUUUUUAUUUUUAAUUUUGCUGAAAGAUAAUGUUUUAUACUGUUACAGCACAAAGAAAACUGACUUCAAAAUUUAUCAAAACUUAAUGUGAUUUUUUUUCUUCCUGUUUGGGAAGUUGAUAGGAGGGCAAGUGCAUACUUGUACCCUGGUUCUGCUUUCUGUAUGCUGCUUCAUCCUUGUUAGAUUUUAAGAUUCUUAAGUUCAUGCUUCUUAGUGUCAUAAGAUCUCCUCAAAUCCUCUCAUAUAAAAUUUGAAGAAAGAGUUGUUAAAGGAGUACAUAUAUGGUAAAAAGAAUGUCUCUCUUGGUUGGGUUUUAUAAAAAAUACACCUUUUCUUUUUUUUUUUAAAUGCACCUUUUCUAAAAGUGAACUGUUACUAUGCUUCUCGGUACCCCGAAUCACAAAUUUCAUUUAUCCACCAAAGCUACUGUUGGUCACUGUUAGAACUGAUUAUAUGGUUAGCAUUAUAUUUUGUAAAUUACUUGUGAUGCCAAGGUGAUGUUUAGGAUUUGUGCUUAACUCUGGGGGAAAUAUUUCUUUAAAUGGAUAAUGCUGAUUUUUUUUAAGAGGGUUAACAUAAAUCAUAACAGUGGGAAAAUAAAUUUUUACCAGAACUUUUAAACUAUCUCCUAUUUCCUAUGCACCUAAUACCAUCAGCAUGAAGUCAUCCACAUAAUGGGUAAAUUUGAUGUCCUGUAAGGUAGUGAGAAUAUCAAGAUCUCGGUGGAUUAAAUUACCACAGAAUUAUCAGCAUUUGAUGAACAAAUGUUGUCUUGAGGCAAGAUGAUGAAGGUUGAACCCCUAUCCAUAUCAAGUAAGAGUAGAAAGCUUCUGGUACCCUUGGUUAAUUUGUGAACUGAUUGUAUCCUUUGAUCAUUAAAAAAAAAAAAUUUAGGGGACUUCCCGUGCAGUGCAGUGGUUAAGACUUCGCCUUCCAAUGCAGCGGGUGUGGGUUUGAUCCCUGGUUGGGGAGCUAAGAUCCUUCAUGCCUCACAGCCAAAAUAACCAAAACAUAAAACAAGCAGUAUUGUAACAAAUUCAGUGAAGACUUUAAAAAUGGUCCACAUCAAAAAAGCUUUUUAAAAAAUUUAGUUCCUUGAUUGUAAACAAAGAAAGAAUGUUUUAUUAAUUAUGCAUGUUAAUGCCUUAUCUGUAUUUGCAUUUAUACUGAGUGUGUGUGUGUGUGUGUGCGUGCGUGCGUGCGUGCGUGUGUGUGUGUGUGUGUGUGUGUGUGUGUGUGUGUGGCUGCACCGGCCCUGGCAGCAAAAGCGCCAAGUCCUAACCACUGGACCGCCAGGGAAUGCCCUAACCUAAAUUUUUUGGUCACAAAUUUUAUGUGGCCAAAUGUACUGAUAUUUUCUUUUGACACUUCCAUUGUUUUUGUUUGGAAAAUCUUCAAAAACUUAUAAAUAAUACCACUCAUCCAUAUUUUCUUCUAAAAUAUUUAAUGGUUUCAUUAAAAAGACUAAACAUUUUUACUAACCUGGAGUUUCUUUUGGUGUAUAUGUUGAGAUAUGUAGUUAACUGCUUAUCACUAAUUGAUUUUUCCCAAACCAUUUAUUAAUAAUCUAUAUCAUUCUCAUUGAUUUGUAUAGUUUCUCUUAUGUUAAUAAGUUCUCACCUCUUACUGUUUUCCAGUAAUAUGCUUACUCUUCUGUAGGCUAGUAUUUAAUAAUUAUAUUUUUAUAUUUACUAAUUAUAUAUUUUAUAAUCUAACAGAAAAAAUUUAUCUUUCUUUAAACAUUUAAAGCUAUUUUAUUUUAACUAGAAACAAAUCACUAUAUGUCUGUGCAAAAGCAACAUAUGUUUAUUGCUGAAAAGUUAGAAAAUAUAAAUAAGAAAAUAAAUAUGAAAGAAGGAAGACCUUAGUAGUGAGAGUGGAUGUAGCUAUGCCUCAUUCUCCUAACACUGGGUCCCCGACGUGCAAGGUUCUGAGGGGUGAUGUUAAGCUUUAUGCCCUACCUCCUUCCCCUCUUAGAACCCACUUGGGUCCCAGGUUGGUGACUGAGGCACCUAAUUUGUUUCCAGUGAAAAAAGUUUGGCCACAAAGGGGAUGGCCAUAACACCUUUCUUGGUACCAACUCCUUAUAAAACUAAGAGGUCCUAUGUUUGCCACAGACUCAAGCGAAAAACGGCUUCAGACUUUAUGAAGUAGAGAUGCCGACCAAUUUUUCUUGUAGAUGGAAGUGCAUUGCUGGCUGACUAUAGUCAUGAGAAAAUAAGCUCAGUACCAAUAAGAGAAUGAUAAUAAGAAUAAGAGAAAAUAAGCUCAGUGCCUUCUUAUAGGAAGCAAAGACCCUCGGAAGGGCUAAAGUAGGCACGUUGCCAACUGAUGCUCUAUAUCCUCACGAUGCUGGGGGGUCAGGGACACAGGGGAUAGUCUGGAUUCUAUGGGGGAGAAGUAUGGAAGUAAAACAGCUGAAAUUUUAACUUGCAUUCCUAAUGAGUUUCAAUGUUUUAGAGUUACAAAGAAAAGUUACAAACACCCCAGUCUGACUACGGAAUCUCAGGAGUCACAGAUGGUGUCUACUCUGGCUAGGUAGCGAAGGUAGGAAGAGGGUGAAAAUUUUUUCCAGCUAUAAACUGCCAUGAUAAGCAGAAAUUAUCCUAAGGGGGCCAUAGAGAUGAGGGGUAUGUUGGGUAUGAAAAAUGCUCAGAUCAGGUCUCCAGCGCUAGGGACAGGGUAACCAACCAUGCCAGUUUUCCCAGGACUGUCUUGGUUUUAUCACUGAUAGUCCUGUGUCCCAGGAAUGCCCCAGUCCUGGGCAAAGUGGGGAACCUACUUGGGACACAUAGUAGACUGACAGCCCCAGCAGCUGUCCUUCUGGAUCCACGUCUGUGUCUGUCCUAUGCCCAUGCUUCCCACGACUGCUCCCAGCCAUUACACCCACAAUAGGGGUAAAAUACAGGCCCAUUCCUGGAAGAUGCGGGAUUUAUUUUUCAUAUGACUUUGGCUCCAGGAUUCCCCUUUGGCCUGGCCAGAAAUGUUGUUAGAACUGUGCUGCAGUUUUAGACUCUCUCUACCCAAUCCUCUUUGUUUCCCUCUACCUCCACUUCUUCCAUUCUUCCUAGCUCCCUCUCUCCAUAAUUUUCUAUGGCCACUUAACAUAUUACCACAAAUUUUGUGGCUUAAAACCACACAUAUUUAUAGUAUAGUUCCGGAGGUCAGAGGUCUGAAAUGAUUCUCACUGAGCUAAAAUCAAGGCUGCAUUCCUUUCUGGAGGUUCUAGAGGACAAUUAGUUUUCUUGUCUUUUCUGACUUGUAGAGGCCACCUGUAUUCCUUGGCUUGUGGCCCCUUCCAUCUUCAAAGCCAGCAAUGACCUGUCGAGUCUUUCUCACAUCAUUCUGACACUUCUGCCUCCUCCUUCCACGUAUGAAGGACCCUUGUAAUUUCACUGGACCCACCUGAAUUUGUUAAGGCAUCCAUAACAUGUUUUUCAUCAUAAAACAGGUAUUACUCUGACAUUAUUAAUUCCAUUAGCAUAUCUAUUAAAUAAAUAUGCAGGAAACCACCAGGGCAUUAUUUGAGUCUUAAAUAAGCAUGGGAGCUCUAAGCAACAACUUUACUUUAAAAAAAAUUUUUAUUUAUUUAUUUGGCUGUGCCAGGUCUUAGCUGGCAGCACUUGGGCUCUUUUAGUUGCAGCAUGUGGCAUCUAGUUCCCUGACCAGGGAUCGAACCUGGGCCCCUGGCACUGGGAGUGUGAAAUCUUAACCCCUGGACCACCAGGGAAGUCCCUAAGCAACAACUUUCUAGAGGGCAUCUGUUUGCAAAGAAAUCUGGGAAUCUUAGCUUUCAAGUGCUUGGGGAUCCAGGUAGCAUUGACAAAGGACAUACAGAAGUUCAGAGUUGGCCUAGCAUAUACUCCUUGAGUAUCUCUGGUCUAUACAGAAACACUAGAAUCAACCAAAUCUUGACAACCUACCUGGAGUCCUGGUGUGUGGUUCUUAUCUCCCUACAGCCUGGUAAUGUCUUUGACCCUCAUUCCAGGCUGCAUCAGCAAGUGUCAGAGUCUUCCUCAGAUGUCACCAUUAGGGAGCCUUUACUGGUCUCAUAGGUCACCCUGGGGAGUACUGCAGAGACAAAUAGAGGACAAAAGAUAAUUUUCUGGUUGGGCUAUUAUAGGGAGAAAAUUGUGGGUGGUCAGAGUUGAAACCAGUCACACACACACCAAAACCAUUUAUUUGGUCCAGCUAAGCUGGAUAGACCUGAGAAAUGUUUUUUGUUUUUGUUCAUUGCUCUUUCACCGGUGAAGACACUGUCUGGAACCAGCUAUCACUUCAACAGGGACCCUGCCUCCUUCCAGAGUUUUUCGGUGCAAUUGCUUGCUUGCUUUCUUUUUUUUUUUUUUUUGGCUGUGCUGCGUUCCCCAACCAGGGAUGGAACUCGUGCUUGCUGCAGUGGAAGCGAGGAGUCCUAACCUCUGGACCUCCAGGGAGUUCCCCCAGCAGCAAUUUCUGCUGAAGGUCUGGACACCUGACUUCUGAGUCACUAAUUCCAAACAAUUUGUUGUCAAAUCAUUCAACCUACAAAGCACAAAAUGGCAUUAAAUUGCCUCUGAAGAAUAAGUACCUAAAUUAAUAUCUGUGCAUUUGUCUUGCUGUAAAAUAUGGCUGCCAAACUUUCAAAUUUUGCUGGUGCAUCUUGUGCAAUGGUGGUAUCUGUUACUUUUUAAUUUGGUUAAUAAAAAUUCUUAAAAUCAUUAACAUGAUUUUGAUCUUCAAAUCAUUAACAAAUUUAAUAGAAACCUGCUGAGUUUGGGGAUAGCUGGUUUUGUAUUAACUGUUGUUGUGAGCCUGCUUCUGCUUCUGUUUCACCCACAAUACCAGGUUUGGUUUAAUUGUAUUGUAACUGUAUAAUUACAGUAAUUGUAUAAUUACUGGAUCAAGUACUACAUUAAAAGGAGUUUCUGUAUACAGUUGCCUGUUUCUACCAGUAUGGAGUAUGGAGUCAACCUAUUUUGCUUUAUUCCUAAGAAAUGGAAUAAAGAUGGAAACACAAAUUACAGAUAGAGAAAGAGGGAAGCAAGGGAAAAGAUUAUUUAAAGUUUGGGAAAUUUUAGAGAAUAUGGGACAAGUAUAAAGCAUAAGAGGUUUCAUAAAAAUGGAGAUGAUAAGAUUCCACAAGGUCACUAUGAUGAUUAGAUUUAGGACUGGGAAACAGAUUUGGGUGGAUAAAGCGAAGGAGCAAAGAGACUAUUAAGAGAAAACAAAAGUUAGAUGUCCCUAUUAGUUAGCUAAUUACUGAAAAAUUUGGCUAGUAGAAUUUUAGGGAAAUUUAGCUAUAUUGAUUUUUUAAAUUUGUAGCAACGAUCUUAUACUUCAAUAAAAACAG